rnacentral:tRNA from 1 species
GCGAGUGUAGAUCUCAAUUGGUAGAGUGGCAUGCGCGGAAGCGCCUGCGUGUUGCAGGUUCGAGUCCUGCCGCUCGCC